CUUCAUACAAAGCACCAGCUCUCUGGUGUGUAGGCAGAGCACAGGCAUUUGUGUUUAUCUGAAUUGGAGCUUCAGGAUAUAAAUAGUUUCAGGCCCUUCUGUUCUAUCCUUGCAGCUGGCCUCCUUAUUGAAACAGCUUCUUAAAGGCAGACCUGCUUCUUGUUGCCUGCUUCUGUCCCAUGCUGUGUCCAGAUGGGAUCUGUGACUGGGGUCUGGUUGUUUUCUGUUUCUGAAUGUUCCCUGAACACAUUUUUACUCUGCUGUCUUGUGUACACCCUAUAUUGACUAUGAAGUAUGCUCUUUCUAAUUUUUUUUUUUUUUUAGUUGUAGCUGGACACAAUACUUUUAUUUUAUUUAUUUUUAUGUGGUGCUGAGGAUUGAACCCAGG
rnacentral:lncRNA from 1 species